UAAACCCUAACCUGGGCAAAUUGUGCGACUCCCGGUCACGGCCGGUUCUGACAGCCUGGGAUCGAACCCAGGUCUGUAGUGAUGCCUCAAGCACUGCGCUGCAGUGCUUUAGACCGCAGCUCCACUCAGGCGGUCCUUGAUUUAAUAUUUUGUUAUACAAGGGAAUCUCUUCUCUAGCUGCUGUCAAAUCAGUAUAAUAUGGUUUCCUUAAUGCGUUAGCAUUUAAUUAAAUAAUAUUGAUAUCACAUGUUGGAAAAUUAAAUAAUUACAACUUGUGUGAAUCUUUGGAUAAAAAACUAUUUGUGUUCUAUUCUGUUUAUUGGCAGGCCCCUCCAAUGGGUCCCUCAUGAUUGAGUUCCAUAGACGUCAUAUAUUCAUUCAUAUGUUUGUCAUUGGUAAAGGCAGAUAGUCAUCUGCACCAGUAUUUUCCUCUUGAGUUGUACUGUACAAUUCAGUGGAGGCCAGAAGGGGAGGACCAUCCUCCUCAGUGAAUUUCAUAGAGCAUUUUUAUUGUAAAACGUUUAAAAAGUUAUCCCUUUUUAGAUAGAACUAUACUAAGUAUAAUCAUGUCACCAAAUAACUUUUGCAAAGAAGGGCUACAGUAGCCUCAACAGCACUCUGUAGGGUUGCACUGUUGUCGCUGGAGAACAGCUGGCUUCCAUCCUCCUGUGAUGGACAUUUUUAUCUUGUGAAAAGACAUCCUUGAAAAUGUUCAUCUUGUCUUGGUGUCAUAAAUAAUCCUUGGUUCCUGCCUGUGUUUGGUAAAGAUAUGGGGGGGGGGGGACAACAACCUCCUCCUUAGGACGAUCUGGCAGAACGCCCAGAGUAUGUUCUUUAAGUUAAAGAUAGGAGACAGUGCUAGACACAUGCCGGAACCAACCCUAUGAACUAUGCAUCUUUAACAUGUCUGUAACCUGUAUAUAAGGGAUAACGGGACUGCAUUGAGUUGUUUGGAACCUCUCCAGCGCGCUGAUAAUAAAGAAUGAUUCAUUGAAGAUUGACUUUGAGUGUCCCUGUGUAGAAUUUCUACAACUAUUUGGCGUCACAAACAGGAUGAUUGAUUCGGCCUGCAGCGCUUUCCAGUGAGGGUCUGCGAGGAAAACCGGUGGCACAUUUUAUGAAGCGUGAGGGGAAAUUCCUGUCUGACCAAAAGAGGACGCGGAGCCACCCAGACCAGACCCUUACUCUGAGCUGCCCAGGAGGUUUCUUGAAGGUGCCUUAGGAGAGACGUUAUUGAGACUGUGUACUGUGCAGUGUAAAGGUGCCCGCAUCCAGCUGUUGAGGGAGCUCCCAAAUUAAGAGUGCGACAUGAGACCAAUGUGGAGUGAGCAUGGACGAGAUCCCGUCCAACUUCUCUCAUGUACUGGUAGUAAAAUGGACAAAGACAUAAUGGACUGUAAAGGACAGUGGCGACUCAGGAUGCCGGUGGGCGGAGUUGGAGAGGGUCAUCAGCUACAUGGGAAACACCUGGGCCAGGAUGCCGGUGGGCGGAGUUGGAAAGGGUCGUCAGCUACAUGGGAAACACCUGGGCCAGGUGUGUCCCAGGAUAAAUAGACCUCUUCCACAUUCAUGGAGGAGACUCUCUCCAUGCAGACGCCAUUGUAGAUUGUGUUGUGGUUCUUGGUGGCCUUUUGUUUGUUUGUUUGCAUUGGCACCUUUCAAUACCCUGCAUUAUCACAUUCAUGCAUGCAAAACACUCACUUACACUACUGAUUACUGAUUACACGCACCAUUGUAUAUUUU